rnacentral:misc_RNA from 1 species
GAUGAAGAACGUAGCGAAAUGCGAUAAGUAAUGUGAAUUGCAGAAUUCAGUGAAUCAUCGAAUCUUUGAACGCACAUUGCGCCCAUUAGUAUUCUAGUGGGCAUGCCUGUUCGAGCGUCAUUUCAACCCCUAAGCACAGCUUAUUGUUGGGAACCUACGGCUUCGUAGUUCCUCAAAGACAUUGGCGGAGUGGCAGUGGUCCUCUGAGCGUAGUAAUCUUUUAUCUCGCUUCUGUUAGGUGCUGCUCCCCCGGCCGUAAAACCCCCAAUUUUUUCUGGUUGACCUCGGAUCAGGUAGGAAUACCCGCUGAACUUAAGCAUAUCAAUAAGCGGAGGA